rnacentral:tRNA from 1 species
GGGUCAUUAGCUCAGGUGGUAGAGCACUUGACUUUUAAUCAAGUUGUCCCGCGUUCGAAUCGCGGAUGGCUCACCA